CGCGUAGGCGGGAUGGCAAGUCGGUCGUGAAAUCCCUCGGCUCAACCGAGGAGCGUCGGCCGAUACUGCCGUUCUUGAGGGAUGCAGAGGAGACUGGAAUUCCCGGUGUAGCGGUGGAAUGUGUAGAGAUCGGGAGGAACACCGGUGGCGAAGGCGGGUCUCUGGGCAUCUCCUGACGCUGAGGCGCGAAAGCGUGGGAGCAAACG
rnacentral:rRNA from 1 species